CCCUGGCUCAGGACGAACGCUGGCGGCGUGCUUAACACAUGCAAGUCGAACGGUGAUGGCCAGCUUGCUGGUCUGAUCAGUGGCGAACGGGUGAGUAACACGUGAGCAACCUACCCCAGACUCUGGAAUAACCAUGGGAAACGAUGGCUAAUACCGGAUACGAGACACACACGCAUGUGUGGUGUCUGGAAAGAUUUAUCGGUCUGGGAUGGGCUCGCGGCCUAUCAGCUUGUUGGUGGGGUAGUGGCCUACCAAGGCGACGACGGGUAGCCGGCCUGAGAGGGCGACCGGCCACACUGGGACUGAGAUACGGCCCAGACUCCUACGGGAGGCAGCAGUGGGGAAUAUUGCACAAUGGGCGCAAGCCUGAUGCAGCGACGCCGCGUGAGGGAUGACGGCCUUCGGGUUGUAAACCUCUUUCAGCAGGGAAGAAGCGCAAGUGACGGUACCUGCAGAAGAAGGCGCCGGCUAACUA
rnacentral:rRNA from 1 species